UACGUAGGCAGCGAGCGUUGUUCGGAAUUACUGGGCGUAAAGAGUGUGUAGGCGGUGCUCUAAGUUCGGUGUGAAAUCUCCUGCUUAACUGGGAGGGUGCGCCGGAAACUGGAGUGCUCGAACGUGGGAGAGGAAAGCGGAAUUCCUGGUGGUAGCGGUGAAAUGCGUAGAUAUCAGGAGGAACACCUGCGGUGUAGACGGCUUUCUGGACCAUUGUUGACGCUGAGACACGAAAAGCGUGGGUAGCAAACAGG
rnacentral:rRNA from 1 species